rnacentral:rRNA from 1 species
AAUGCCACUAAUGGAUGCCUUGGCGAUGUUGACCGAGGAAGGACGCACAUGGCGGCGAUACUCGUCGGGGAGGUGCCACGAACCUGUGAUCCGGCGGUUUCCGAAUGGGGCAACCCCUCCAUCGUAAGAUGGAGAGCUAUGCGUAAACAUGAGAGAGCAAUCUCUCAAAAUAGCGCAUAGCUGGGCACGGCUCGAACUGAAACAUCUUAGUAGGGCCAGGAAAAGAAAUCAUCGAGAUUCCCUAAGUAGCGGUGAGCGAAAGGGGAGGAGCCUAAACUCCGAUUAAAUCGGAGGGUUGUAGGGCAGGCGAUAUUCGAUGUGAGUAUGGAUAGCAGAAGGACUCGGAAUAGUCCCCCACAGAACGUGAAAGGCGUGUAUGCGAAAUUCAUGCUCCCGAUAGCCUGUUCCUAAGUACCACGAAGCACGGUAAACUUUGUGGGAAGCUGGGGUGACCACACUCCAAGGCUAAAUAUCAACAUCGACCGAUAGUGAACUAGUACCGUGAGGGAAAGGUGAAAAGCACCCCGGGAGGGGAAUGAAAUAGACCUGAAAUUAGUGGCUAACAAGCAGUCGGAGUCCGCUUUUGCGGAUGACGGCGUGCCUAUUGAAGAAUGAACCGGUGAGUUAUUGUUUGCAGCGUUGGUUUAAGCAAGGAAAACUUGCGAAGACGGAGUGAAAGCGUGCCCUAACUGGGCGAUUAGUUGCAAGCAAUAGACCCGAAACUGGGUGAGCUAACCUUGAGCAGGUUGAAUCCCAUAGAAAUAUGGGAGGAGGACCGAACCCGUGGCCGUAGCAAUGGCUUGGGAUGACUUGAGGUUAGGGGUAACAUGCCAAUCGAACCCAGAGAUAGCUGGUUCUCCCCGAAAUAUAUUAAGGUAUAGCGUCUCGAUUGUGCCCUGAGGUAGAGCACUGAAUUGCUACCGGCGGAGCAAUCUGUCGGAGCAAAUCAAACUCCGAAUGCAGGAUGCAUGUAUCGAGAUAGUCAGACUGGUCGGGCUAAGCUGAUCAGUCGAGAGGGAAACAGCCCAGACUCCCAUUUAAGGCCUCUAAAUCAAAGCUAAGUUUGAAAGGAAGUUAGACUCCUCAGACACCCAGGAGGUUGGCUUAGAAGCAGCCAUCCUUUAAAGAAAGCGUAACAGCUCACUGGCGGAUGGUGUCUAGCGCCGAAAAUAUACCGAGGAUUAAGCUUUGUGCCGAAAUUGGAGAUUUAUGCCCGUAAGGGUAUAAAUGGUAGGGGAGCGUUUUAUGCGCAGUGAAGUCAAGCUGUAAGGCUUGAUGGAGUGCAUAGAAGUGAGAAUGCCGGUAUGAGUAGCGAGAGAUAGGUGAGAAACCUAUCCACCGAAUGCCCAAGGUUUCCUCCGCAAUGUAAAUCAGCGGAGGGUCAGUCGGCCCUAAGGGUAUCCCUCGUUAAAGGGGGUUAGCCUGAUGGAUAACCCGUUAAAAUUCGGGUACAAAUUAUGCGUAUGUAAGGGGGUGACAGAGUUGGAAGAGCAGAGCCGGAUCCGUCCGGUCCAAGCAGCAAGAUAAGCGUGAACAGGCAAAUCCGUUCACCUGUUUAAUCGAGCUGCAAAUGAAAGGUUCCAAGCAAUUGGGACUGAUUCUGUAGCUUUCAGCUCUCGGGAAAAGCCUCAUUACGAUCCGAUUUAUCGGAUCAAAACGCAUAGUUUGCCGUACCGCAUUACCGACACAGGUGGGCUGGUCGAGUAGACUAAGGUGAUCGGGAGAAAGAGGUUCAAGGAACUCGGCAAAAAAGCUAGGCGUAACCUUUGGGAGAUGCCUUCCCGCAGUUAGGUCUGCGGGCGCAGCGAAUGUCUGCUUAGCAACUGUUUAUCUAAAACACAGGUCCCUGCAAAGCCGAAAGGCAAGGUAUAGGGGCUGACACCUGCCCAGUGCCGGUAAGUCAAGUGUUUUUGCUAACCCUCGUAAGGGGGAAGGCGAGGACACAAGCUCCGGUGAACGGCAGCAGUAACUAUAACUGUUCUAUGGUAGCGAAGUUCCUUGUCGGGUGAGCACAAGCAAGCCCUUACUGGCUAAAAACGGUGGAGCCCUAUCGCGUUGCAUUUACAAGGAAUGCGUAUAGCGAGGGUAAUACCGUGGGUAAGAAUGUACCAAAUGGUACGUUCCCUGUAACGACUUGACUCAAGUAUGAGUCAGAGGCAUACUGAAUAUAUGCCUAAUACGCCAGCAUCUAAUAGAGAUUCCAUUGGAUAUUAUCUUUCGGGAUAUACCGAUGGAGAAGGAAGUUUUUGUAUAUCAUUUUCUCCUAGACCAAAACUUUUAACAAGACUUGAAGUUCGACCAAGCUUUUCAGUUUCUCAAAAUAGUGACCGUCAAGAGGUAUUGAGAAUUUUUCAGCAAUAUCUUGGAUGCGGAACUAUUCGAAGAAACCCAAGCGAUCGAACUUAUAAGUAUGAGGUAAGAAGUAUAAAAGAUUUGAUGGAGAAAGUUAUUCCACAUUUUCUGAAAUACCCAUUACUUUCUUCUAAAAAGAAAGAUUUUGAGAAGUUCUCUGCAAUUUGCCGAAUGGUAAAUAAAGGGGAACAUCUCAAGAGGGAUGGGUUAAAAGAAAUUGUGAGACUUUCUUAUCAAAUGAAUGGUUUAGGUGCAAGAAGAUAUUUGAAAGACAAACUUCUAUCGAUAUUAGAUGAAGAUAUAGUCUACGCCUCAAGUAAUUGAGGAUAUACGUGGAGUUCCGACCCGCACGAAAGGUAGAAUGACUGAGCAACUGUCUUGAACCUCUACCCGGCGAAAUUGAGAUGGCUGUGAAGACGCGGCCUAGACAUACAUGGACAAAAAGACCCCGGGAGCUUUACUGCAGCUUGGCAUUUGCAAGCUUUUCUCAACUGUUUAGAAUAGGAGGGAGGCGUCAGCCGAUCGUGAAAUACCUCUCUUUGGGAUGAGUGAGCAUUACUCUUAGCCGAAUAAAUGGACGGCAAGAGAACAGUGUCUGGCGGGCAGUUUUACUGGGGAGGUAGGCUCCUACAGCGCAACGGAGCCGCACAAAGGUCGGCUAGCUCCGGAUGGAAAUCGGAGUGAUAGCGCAAUGGCAAAAGCCGGCUUGACUGCGAGGCAAACAAGCCGAGCAGGUACGAAAGUAGGUCAUAGUGAUCCUGCGAGGCCUAGUGGUAGGCACGCAGCUUAACGGAUAAAAGCUACCCCGGGGAUAACAGGCUGAUCGCAUCCAAGCGUCCACAGCGACGAUGCGGUUUGGCACCUCGAUGUCGGCUCAUCGCAUCCUGGGGCUGGAGAA